rnacentral:rRNA from 1 species
UCCUGUCUGAAUAUGGGGGGACCAUCCUCCAAGGCUAAAUACUCCUGACUGACCGAUAGUGAACCAGUACCGUGAGGGAAAGGCGAAAAGAACCCCGGCGAGGGGAGUGAAAAAGAACCUGAAACCGUGUACGUACAAGCAGUGGGAGCACGCUUAGGCGUGUGACUGCGUACCUUUUGUAUAAUGGGUCAGCGACUUAUAUUCUGUAGCAAGGUUAACCGAAUAGGGGAGCCGAAGGGAAACCGAGUCUUAACUGGGCGUUAAGUUGCAGGGUAUAGACCCGAAACCCGGUGAUCUAGCCAUGGGCAGGUUGAAGGUUGGGUAACACUAACUGGAGGACCGAACCGACUAAUGUUGAAAAAUUAGCGGAUGACUUGUGGCUGGGGGUGAAAGGCCAAUCAAACCGGGAGAUAGCUGGUUCUCCCCGAAAGCUAUUUAGGUAGCGCCUCGUGAAUUCAUCUCCGGGGGUAGAGCACUGUUUCGGCAAGGGGGUCAUCCCGACUUACCAACCCGAUGCAAACUGCGAAUACCGGAGAAUGUUAUCACGGGAGACACACGGCGGGUGCUAACGUCCGUCGUGAAGAGGGAAACAACCCAGACCGCCAGCUAAGGUCCCAAAGUCAUGGUUAAGUGGGAAACGAUGUGGGAAGGCCCAGACAGCCAGGAUGUUGGCUUAGAAGCAGCCAUCAUUUAAAGAAAGCGUAAUAGCUCACUGGUCGAGUCGGCCUGCGCGGAAGAUGUAACGGGGCUAAACCAUG